AGCAGUGUGGCCUAGUGGAAGGAGCGUGGCCCUGGGAGUCAAAGGCUUUGGGUUCUAAUCCCAGCUCUGCCA
rnacentral:tRNA from 1 species